ACGGCAGUGGUGUAGUGGUUAACAUUCAAGCCUGUGGAGCUUGAGAUCGCGAGUUCGAUUCUCGCCUGCCGCC
rnacentral:tRNA from 1 species